rnacentral:rRNA from 1 species
GCACAAGCGGUGGAUGAUGUUGGUUUAAUUCGAUGCAACGCGAAAACCUUACCCACCUUUGACAUGUACGGAAUCCUUUAGAGAUAGAGGAGUGCUCGAAAGAGAGCCGUAACACAGGUGCUGCAUGGCUGUCGUCAGCUCGUGUCGUGAGAUGUUGGGUUAAGUCCCGCAACGAGCGCAACCCUUGUCAUUAGUUGCUACAUUCAGUUGGGCACUCUAAUGAGACUGCCGGUGACAAACCGGAGGAAGGUGGGGAUGACGUCAAGUCCUCAUGGCCCUUAUAGGUGGGGCUACACACGUCGUACAAUGGAUGGUACAAAGGGUCGCCAACCCGCGAGGGGGAGCCAAUCCCAUAAAGCCAUUCGUAGUCCGGAUCGCAGUCUGCAACUCGACUGCGUGAAGUCGGAAUCGCUAGUAAUCGCGGAUCAGCAUGUCGCGGUGAAUACGUUCCCGGGUCUU